UCCUCCUCCUGUGGGCUCUUGUCUGUCUGGGCGGAGGAAAUGUCUCCGGUGUUCAGGAGGAAAUAUUCACCCGGCCGGGAUCUGACCUUCUCCUCCCCAUCAGACGCCAUCUCACCCUCAGCCAUACAGAUGGACGGAGCUGUGACCAGUAUGAAUGGACAUAUAAAGAUCCCUCCAGAUACAACGAGACCAGACUAGCCAGACACAGGGGGUGUAACGUGACUACAACUCCCCCAAUCUUCCCCAAUACCAGGACAUCAGAGAAUGGAAGUCUGAUAAUAGACGGUGUGACUCGGGACAAUGACGGGGUAUACAGAGUGGUAAUACACAACUCUACAGGAAGCUACAUACAGACAGAUGAUUACACCGUCCAUGUAGAAGGAAAUGUCUCCGGUGUUCAGGAGGAAAUAUUCACCCGGCCGGGAUCUGACCUUCUCCUCCCCAUCAGACGCCAUCUCACCCUCAGCCAUACAGAUGGACGGAGCUGUGACCAGUAUGAGUGGUCAUAUGAAGAUCUCCCCAGACACAACGUGACCAGAAUAGCCAGACACAGGGGGUGCAGCGUGACU